rnacentral:tRNA from 1 species
ACGGCAACUGGCAAGGACGCCGUUGCGCUCGGUUCGAAUUCGAAGGCGACGGGCGACAACUCGGUUGCGCUCGGUGCGAACUCGGUUGCGGAUC